UACGUAGGGGGCAAGCGUUAUCCGGAUUUACUGGGUGUAAAGGGAGCGUAGACGGCGGCGCAAGCCAGAUGUGAAAGCCCGGGGCUCAACCCCGGGACUGCAUUUGGAACUGUGCUGCUAGAGUGUCGGAGAGGCAGGCGGAAUUCCUAGUGUAGCGGUGAAAUGCGUAGAUAUUAGGAGGAACACCAGUGGCGAAGGCGGCCUGCUGGACUGCAACUGACGUUGAGGCCCGAAAGCGUGGGGAGCAAACAGG
rnacentral:rRNA from 1 species